UGGGGAAUAUUGGACAAUGGGCGAAAGCCUGAUCCAGCCAUGCCGCGUGUGUGAAGAAGGUCUUCGGAUUGUAAAGCACUUUAAGUUGGGAGGAAGGGCAGUAAGCGAAUACCUUGCUGUUUUGACGUUACCGACAGAAUAAGCACCGGCUAACUCUGUGCCAGCAGCCGCGGUAAUACAGAGGGUGCAAGCGUUAAUCGGAAUUACUGGGCGUAAAGCGCGCGUAGGUGGUUCGUUAAGUUGAAUGUGAAAGCCCCGGGCUCAACCUAAGAACUGCAUCCAAAGCUGGCGAGCUAGAGUAGGGCAGAGGGUGGUGGAAGUUCCUGUGUAGCGGUGAAAUGCGUAGAUAUAGGAAGGAACACCAGUGGAGAAGGCGACCACCUGGGCUCAUACUGACACUGAGGUGCGAAAGCGUGGGGAGCAAACAGG
rnacentral:rRNA from 1 species